CUCUCUCUCUCUCUCUCUGCUCUUGGAGUGCCGAGUGAUCUGGAAUCAGCAUCGACGCGAGCUGCGACGGGGCGUUGACGGUUCGGCGGUCCGAUUCCGACAUCUCGGGACGACGGCAUUCGAGGUGGGGAGCUUCGUUUCCUCUGCGGGCUCGGGUGGAGCCUCAAGGUAUCCGACUUGAAGACCUCGAAAUCGCUCUUCUACUUCGUCGCCGCGAGUUCCGCGUCGAUUACUCUGGUUUCGUAAGCCGAAACUGCAGUUUUGGACACCUGGAGACGAAUUCGUCGGAGAAUGCCUUUUUGUUCCCCGUAGGAUCUCGGUUUCUUGCAUCUCUCGGAAGCUGCUGUCAAUUUCUAGUGCAGAGAAAGUUCGAAUCUCUACGGUCUUUCCUGAUCUGUAAUCGCCGGUCGCCUUGCCUUUGGAGUUUCGAGUUUUCAGACUAUGGCAGGGAUUUCUUGAAGUUUAGCUUUCCGCUGCUGCAUUGAUGGAUCCUUGGACCAAUAUCGAUGGAUAUGAGGAGCCAAGGUUGUCCUCUUUGAAUCAGAUGGACAUUAUAGCCUCUUAAAGCACAAUCUGGAAAUUGUUCAUUGCAUUCUUUUACUAUUACCAAUGGGUCACUCUAUGCUUUUCAUAGCACUUCCUUUUAUUUACCUCAUGUUAUACCUUCCACCACUUACCACUGCUGACUUAAGUUCUGAUGAGGAAGCACUCCUGGCCUUUGCUGCCUCAGUCCCUCAUGGCCGGAAAUUGAACUGGAGUUCCCAGAACCCCAUAUGUUCAUCUUGGGUUGGAGUCACUUGCACACCUGAUAAGACCCGUGUCCAUACUCUCCGGCUGCCAGCGGUUGGCCUUUUUGGCUCGAUUCCUUCUGAUACACUUGGGAAACUUGAUGCCCUUGAAGUCUUAAGUCUUCGGUCCAACCGCCUUAUUCUAAAUCUUGCUCCAGAUGUCCCAUCAAUUCCUUCUUUGCAUUCUUUGUACCUUCAACAUAAUAAUUUAUCUGGAAUUGUACCUGAUUUGCUCUCUUCCAACCUAACAUUUCUUGAUCUCUCCUAUAAUUUGUUCGUCGGUGAAAUUCCAUUGACAGUCCAAAACCUUACUCUUCUUACCGCAUUGUUUCUCCAGAACAAUUCUCUUUCUGGACCCAUCCCUAACCUUCAACUGCCCAAGCUUAGACGUCUGAAUCUGAGUUAUAACAACCUCAGUGGCCCCAUACCAAUUUCACUUCAAAAGUUCCCAGUGGAGUCUUUCGUGGGUAACCCUUUCCUCUGUGGGACUCCUCUAGCCCAAUGCUUUGGAGUUCCUCCCUCCUCUCCACCCUUCCCAGCAGAAGCACCUACAAAACCCAAAAGAAGCUUUUGGAAAAAAAUAAGUACGGGAGUCAUCAUUGCAAUUGCUGCUGGUGGAUCAGCUCUUCUGCUUCUACUCAUUGUUUUAAUUUUGGUAUGCUUUUCCAAGAGGAAACGUAGGCAAGGCAGUGGAGAAUCAAAAGGCAAGGGUUCUCUUGGUGGAAGAAGCGAGAAACCUAAGGAGGAGUACAGCAGUAGUGUUCAAGAGGCCGAGAAGAAUAAAUUGGUUUUCUUUGAGGGAUGUUCUUAUAAUUUUGACUUGGAAGAUUUGUUAAGAGCUUCUGCUGAAGUUCUUGGGAAGGGAAGUCAUGGGACCACAUAUAAAGCUGUUCUAGAAGAUGGUACAACAGUUGUAGUGAAGAGGUUGAAGGAAGUAAUCAUCGGAAAGAGAGAGUUUGAACAGCAGAUGGAAAUGAUAGGAAGUGUCAGGCCACACCCCAAUGUAUUGCCACUUAGAGCUUAUUACUACUCCAAGGAUGAGAAGCUUCUAAUAUAUGAUUAUGUCCCUUCUGGCAAUUUAUCCUCCCUCUUGCAUGGGAAUAAGGGGGGAGCUGGAAAAACUCCCUUGGACUGGGAGUCCAGGAUAAAGGUUUCUCUUGGAGCAGCACGUGGCAUCGGUUGCAUUCACAUUGAUGGCAGCGGAAAGUUCAUUCAUGGAGAUAUUAAAUCCAAUAACAUACUCCUGACUCAGGAACUUGAUGCUUGUGUCUGUGAUUAUGGCCUUGCACCACUCAUGAACUCUGCAGCAACCCCAUCCAGAAUUGUAGUGGGCUACCGUGCACCCGAAGUCAUUGAGACUAGAAAAUAUACUCAGAAAUCUGAUGUCUACAGCUUUGGUGUCUUGCUACUUGAGAUGCUCACGGGAAAAGCUCCACUUCAGUCUCCAGGACGCGAUGAUGUUGCUGAUCUACCAAGAUGGGUCCAAUCUGUGGUUCGAGAAGAGUGGACUGCUGAAGUUUUUGAUGUAGAGUUGAUGAGGUAUCCGCACAUCGAGGAAGAAAUGGUUCAGAUGCUUCAGAUUGCGAUGGCAUGUGUUUCAAAAGCUCCAGAUCAACGACCGAAAAUGGAGGAGGUGAUCAGAAUGAUCGAAGACAUUCAGCACUCUGACUCGGAGAACAGACCAUCCUCUGAGAAACCAAGUUGAUAGUGUGUCCAAACGCCACAAGCAGGCACAGGAAGCACAAUGCAGCCCAUUUAUACGUUAGAGAGUCUGUGCAAAUGGGAAGAGGAAAAUGCAGGUGUCUUAUAGGCUGGAGGUAAAGCAGUUGAUUGCAUAUUGAAGUGCUUAAAUGAAGGCAAG